rnacentral:lncRNA from 1 species
AAUAUUAUGCUACACAGAUUCAGCAACAACAAACACUCAUACAAGUAAGUUCAAAAGAUAAUAGGUUUCACUUUAAGAUAUGUAUUGAUUUAAAACGCUGAUGUGAAUGAGUUCGACAAAUUUGUAGCAACUAGCACAGGCCCAAGGGAUACACGUCCCGGUGCCCCCCCACCACCACCACCUCCCGUUCAUUAUCCUUGGUCUUCACCUCCACCUAUACCUACAUCUCCAUCUACCGAACAUCAGGUAUGCAUAUUCAUCAUCAUUUACUUGUUGUUAGUUAUAUUAUGAUGUAACUCAGCAAAUGUCAUUUGUACAUGUAUAUUAGACCCCUCCAGCUACCUUGCCGACGCAUGAACAAGAGGACGGGUUAGACUUUGUCAAAACCCUCUUCAAUAGUGGAGGUAUCGAC